UACGGAGGGUGCAAGCGUUAUCCGGAUUCACUGGGUUUAAAGGGUGCGUAGGUGGGUUGGUAAGUCAGUGGUGAAAUCUCCGUGCUUAACAUGGAACUGCCAUUGAUACUACUGAUCUUGAAUUUUCUGGAGGUAAGCGGAAUAUGUCAUGUAGCGGUGAAAUGCUUAGAUAUGACAUAGAACACCAAUUGCGAAGGCAGCUCGCUACACAUAUAUUGACUCUGAGGCACGAAAGCGUGGGGAUCAAACAGG
rnacentral:rRNA from 1 species